AGGAUGAACGCUGGCGGCGUGCCUAACACAUGCAAGUUGAGCGAUUUACUUCGGUAAAGAGCGGCGGACGGGUGAGUAACGCGUGGGUAACCUACCCUGUACACACGGAUAACAUACCGAAAGGUAUGCUAAUACAGGAUAAUAUAUUUGAGAGGCAUCUCUUGAAUAUCAAAGGUGAGCCAGUACAGGAUGGACCCGCGUCUGAUUAGCUAGUUGGUAAGGUAACGGCUUACCAAGGCGACGAUCAGUAGCCGACCUGAGAGGGUGAUCGGCCACAUUGGAACUGAGACACGGUCCAAACUCCUACGGGAGGCAGCAGUGGGGAAUAUUGCACAAUGGGCGAAAGCCUGAUGCAGCAACGCCGCGUGAGUGAUGAAGGCCUUCGGGUCGUAAAACUCUGUCCUCAGGGAAGAUAAUGACGGUACUUGAGGAGGAAGCCCCGGCUAACUACGUGCCAGCAGCCGCGGUAAUACGUAGGGGGCUAGCGUUAUCCGGAUUUACUGGGCGUAAAGGGUGCGUAGGCGGUCUUUCAAGUCAGGAGUGAAAGGCUACGGCUCAACCGUAGUAAGCUCUUGAAACUGGGAGACUUGAGUGCAGGAGAGGAGAGUGGAAUUCCUAGUGUAGCGGUGAAAUGCGUAGAUAUUAGGAGGAACACCAGUUGCGAAGGCGGCUCUCUGGACUGUAACUGA
rnacentral:rRNA from 1 species